GAUGAACGCUGGCGGCGUGCCUAAUACAUGCAAGUCGAGCGAAGGGGGAACGGGGGAGUAACACGGAGAAAAACUCCUAUAAGACUGGGAUAACUUCGGGAAACCGGAGCUAAAGGGGAUACUCAUAGAUGGCUCCUGGAUGCAUUAGCUGGUUGGUAAGGUAACGGCUUACCAAGGCCACGAUGCAUAGCCGACCUGUGAGGGUGAUCCGCCACACUGGAACUGAGACACGGGCCAGACUCCUACGGGGGGCAGCAGUUGGGAAUCUUUCGCAAUGGGCGAAAGCCUGGCCGAGCCACGCCGCGUGAGUGAUGAAGGUUUUCGGAUCGUAAAACUCUGUUAGUAGGGGAGCGGUACCUUAUCAGAAAGCCACCGCUAACUUCGUUCCAGCAGGCGCGGUAAUAC
rnacentral:rRNA from 1 species